CCUACGGGCGGCAGCAGUGAGGAAUAUUGGUCAAUGGUCGGGAGACUGAACCAGCCAAGCCGCGUGAGGGAUGAAGGUACAGAGUAUCGUAAACCUCUUUUGUCAGGGAACAAAGGCGGGGACGUGUCCCCGGAUGAGUGUACCUGAAGAAAAAGCAUCGGCUAACUCCGUGCCAGCAGCCGCGGUAAUACGGAGGAUGCGAGCGUUAUCCGGAUUUAUGGGGUGUAAAGGGUGCGUAGGCGGAAUGCCAAGUCAGCGGUAAAAUCGCGGGGCUCAACCUCGCUCCGCCGUUGAAACUGGCGUUCUUGAGUGGGCGAGAAGUCUGCGGAAUGCGUGGUGUCGCGGUGAAAUGCAUAGAUCUCACGCAGAACUCCGAUUGCGAAGGCAGCAUACCGGCGCCCACCUGACGCUGACGCACGACAGCGUGGGUAUCGAACAGGAUUAGAUACCCCUGUAGUC
rnacentral:rRNA from 1 species